GGUGUAACAUACCUAAUUCUUUUGCCCCUGUCUCCUUGGAUGUCAGGCUCCUCCUGCCCUCCUUGGCCCCUCCCUGUUGGGUGUACAUCCUUCCAGACUGUUUUCCAUGCACUUCGGUGCCAGGAUGAUUAUCAAGAUGCCACUUUCUUUGCCAUCCUUGUAUCCUUCCUCCAGAUAUACAACAGGGCGUGUCUCCCGCCCGGCUUCCAUCGCAGUCCCUUCAUUACCCUUGCACGACACCACGGUACCUUGAGCAGACCAAGGGCUGGCCUAUGUAACCAGUAGAAAACUGUGGAAGUGAUGGGGCAGGACCAGUAGAAUACUAGAGAAGUGAUGGCGUGGGACAACUUCCAAGGCCGCAUCACAGAAGGCAUUGCAGCUUCUGCCGUGGUCUCCUGGACUGCACACUGGGCAAGCCAGGCACCAUACUGUGAGGAUGCUCAAGCAGCCCCGAGGAGAGGCACACGUGGAGAGGAACUGAGGCCUCCUGCCAACAGCC
rnacentral:lncRNA from 1 species